GGCGAACGGGUGAGUAACACGUGAGUAAUCCACCCUCGGUACCGGGAUAGCCCGGGGAAACCCGGAUUAAUACCGGAUGGCCCGACAGCCUUUCGAGGCGGUCGGAAAAGGUAGCUUCGGCCUCCGACCGAGGACGAGCUCGCGGCGGAUUAGCUUGUUGGCGGGGUAACGGCCCACCAAGGCGACGAUCCGUAGCUGGUCUGAGAGGACGAUCAGCCACACUGGGACUGAGACACGGCCCAGACUCCUACGGGAGGCAGCAGUGGGGAAUCUUGCGCAAUGGGCGAAAGCCUGACGCAGCGACGCCGCGUGCGGGAAGAAGGCCUUCGGGUUGUAAACCGCUUUCAGGAGGGACGAAGCCACUCGGGUUAAUAGCCCAGAGGGUGACGGUACCUCCAGAAGAAGCCCCGGCUAACUACGUGCCAGCCGCCGCGG
rnacentral:rRNA from 1 species